ACGGUGGUGGUUUAGAGGUAGAAUUCUCACCUUCCAUGCAGGAGACCUAGGUUAGCUUCCUGGCCAAUGUA
rnacentral:tRNA from 1 species